GCCGGGUGUGGUGGCGCAUUCCUGUAAUCCCAGGGACACCAGAGGCUGAGACAGGAGGAUCUCGAGUUCAAAGCUAGCUUCAGCAAUGGUGAUGCACUAAGCAACUCAGUGAGACCCUGUCGCUA
rnacentral:sRNA from 1 species